rnacentral:rRNA from 1 species
AUGGCUAUGAUAAGCGGCCUUCCUAUCAACGGACAAGCUGUUACCGGUCGUGUCAGCGUGGGUAAUUGGCGAGAACGGACUGCCGAUUUAAUUGGUGUUCAGCCCGAGGACCCUCAGGAAGGCAAGGCCGAUACCGCGAGAGUGAGGCAUUCUUGGCUAAAACUGGUCAGAGGAAACACCAAUCCGUGCCCUGAGGGUGCCAAUGACGUGGUUAUGCAGCAGUACGCGCGGGCCUAUCUUUGGUAUGUACUAACCAAGGUAGUCUUCUCAGAUGCAACCGGGAACUCAGCCCUCUGGAUGUUCUUGGAGCUACUUAAUAACUGGGAUACCCAGUAUAGCUGGGGUUCGGCCGCACUAGCAUAUUUGUAUCGUCAGCUUGACUUAUCGUGUCGGAGGAAGGGAGGUACAUCCUCAUUGUCUGGGUUUGUUUGGAGCCUAUCCGUGUGGAUGUGGGAGCGGAUCCCGGUUGGACGGCCCGAUUUGAAGAACCCCCUCAUGGCAAACCCACGGGGUAAUCAUGACGGGUUGCAUGAUGAUGAUCCAUAUCGGCGCCCUACGCUUGCUUACUAUUGGGAACAAGUGACAAUCUACACAGGAAGCUCGCAUGUGCGAUACAAGUGCUAUAUGAACGAGCUGGACACCUUGACUGCUGAGCAGGUACAUUGGUUGCCUUAUGUGCAGGGGCGGAGCCAGAAAAUUUAG